AUUACAACAUAGGUGAAACUUGAAGACAUUAUGCUAAGUGAAAUAAGGCAGACAAAAAAGGACCAAUAUUGUAUGAGUCCACGUAUAUGAGGUACCUAGAAUAGGGAAAUUCAUAGAGACAGAAAUAAUAAUAGCA